GGCUGAGGUUGCGGUCGUCAAAAGUACCCCUCCGGUUUGGCAAGUGCCGGAUGGGAAAAGGGGCCACCGCCGAAGGGUCGUUCUCUCGCCAAGGAGGGCGUCCCUGGGGCCGCAGGAAAGACCUGCGGAACUGUCAUCGCAAGAUGGGGUGCUGCCGG
rnacentral:ncRNA from 1 species